rnacentral:rRNA from 1 species
GACGAACGCUGGCGGCGUGCCUAAUACAUGCAAGUCGAGCGAAGUUUUUCUGGUGCUUGCCCUAGAAAAACUUAGCGGCGAACGGGUGAGUAACACGUAAAGAACCUGCCUCAUAGACUGGGACAACUAUUGGAAACGAUAGCUAAUACCGGAUAACAGUAUUUCUCGCAUGAGAGAUAUUUAAAAGUUGGUUAUGCUAACACUAUGAGAUGGCUUUGCGGUGCAUUAGCUAGUUGGUGGGGUAAAGGCCCACCAAGGCGACGAUGCAUAGCCGACCUGAGAGGGUGAUCGGCCACACUGGGACUGAGACACGGCCCAGACUCCUACGGGAGGCAGCAGUAGGGAAUCUUCCGCAAUGAGCGAAAGCCUGACGGAGCAACGCCGCGUGAGUGAAGAAGGAUUUCGGUUCGUAAAGCUCUGUUGUUAGGGAAGAAUGGAUAUGUAGUAACUAUACAUGUAAGAGACGGUACCUAACCAGAAAGCCACGGCUAACUACGUG